rnacentral:rRNA from 1 species
UACGAAGGGGGCUAGCGUUGCUCGGAAUCACUGGGCGUAAAGGGUGCGUAGGCGGGUCUUUAAGUCAGGGGUGAAAUCCUGGAGCUCAACUCCAGAACUGCCUUUGAUACUGAGGAUCUUGAGUUCGGGAGAGGUGAGUGGAACUGCGAGUGUAGAGGUGAAAUUCGUAGAUAUUCGCAAGAGCACCAGUGGCGAAGGCGGCUCACUGGCCCGAUACUGACGCUGAGGUGCGAAAGCGUGGGGAGCAAACAGG